GGUGGCACAAUUGGUCAGUGCAGCUGGCUGUUAACCAGAAAGUUCAUGGUUUGAGCCCACCCAGGGACA